CGCGUAGGCGGAAAAGUGAGUGUCUUGUGAAAUCCCCCGGCUCAACCGGGGAAUUGCUUGGCAUACUGCUUUUCUUGAGACAAGUAGGGGUGCAUGGAACUCUUGGUGGAGCGGUGGAAUGCGUAGAUAUCAAGAGGAACGCCGGAGGUGAAGACGGUGCACUGGGCUUGUUCUGACGCUGAGGCGCGAAAGCGUGGGUAGCGAACAGGAUUAGAUACCCUGGUAGUCC
rnacentral:rRNA from 1 species